AUCCUGGCUCAGGAUGAACGCUAGCGGCAGGCCUAACACAUGCAAGUCGAGGGGUAGAAGUCUUCGGACUUUGAGACCGGCGCACGGGUGCGUAACGCGUAUGCAAUCUACCUUGUACAGGGGGAUAGCCCAGAGAAAUUUGGAUUAAUACCCCAUAGUAUAUUUGAGUGGCAUCACUUGAUUAUUAAAGUUCCAACGGUACAAGAUGAGCAUGCGUCCCAUUAGUUAGUUGGUGUGGUAACGGCACACCAAGACAAUGAUGGGUAGGGGUCCUGAGAGGGAGAUCCCCCACACUGGUACUGAGACACGGACCAGACUCCUACGGGAGGCAGCAGUGAGGAAUAUUGGUCAAUGGGCGAGAGCCUGAACCAGCCAUGCCGCGUGCAGGAUGACGCAUCUAUGGUGUGUAAACUGCUUUUGUACGGGAAGAAACACUGCUACGUGUAGCAGCUUGACGGUACCGUAAGAAUAAGGAUCGGCUAACUCCGUG
rnacentral:rRNA from 1 species